GAGUUUGAUCCUGGCUCAGAACGAACGCUGGCGGCAGGCCUAACACAUGCAAGUCGAACGAAGUCUUCGGACUUAGUGGCAGACGGGUGAGUAACGCGUGGGAACCUACCUGGAGGUUCGGAAUAACUCGGGGAAACUCGGGCUAAUACCGGAUACGCCCUUACGGGGAAAGAUUUAUCGCCUUUAGAUGGGCCCGCGUUGGAUUAGCUUGUUGGUGAGGUAAAAGCUCACCAAGGCGACGAUCCAUAGCUGGUCUGAGAGGAUGAUCAGCCACACUGGGACUGAGACACGGCCAGACUCCUACGGGAGGCAGCAGUGAGGAAUAUUCGGCAAUGGGCGCAAGCCUGACCGAGCCAUGCCGCGUGAGUGAAGAAGGCCCUAGGGUUGUAAAGCUCUUUCACCGAUGAAGAUAAUGACGGUAGUCGGAGAAGAAGCCCCGGUAACUUCGUGCCAGCAGCCGGGGUAAUACGAAGGGGGCUAGCGUUGUCGGAAUUACUGGCGUAAGCAAUAGGCGGGAUUGUUUCAGUCCAGGGGUGAAAUCCCGGGGCUCAACCCCGGGACUGCCUCUGAUACUGGAAUCUCGAGUUCCGAGAGAGGUGAGUGAAUCCCGAGUGUA
rnacentral:rRNA from 1 species